rnacentral:rRNA from 1 species
UACGUAGGGGGCAAGCGUUGUCCGGAUUUAUUGGGCGUAAAGAGCGUGUAGGCGGCCAGAUAGGUCAGCUGUGAAAACUCGAGGCUCAACCUCGAGAUGUCGGCUGAAACCAUCUGGCUAGAGUCCGGAAGAGGAGAAUGGAAUUCCCGGUGUAGCGGUGAAAUGCGCAGAUAUCGGGAAGAACACCCGUGGCGAAGGCGGUUCUCUGGGCCGGUACUGACGCUGAGGAGCGAAAGCGUGGGGAGCAAACAGG